rnacentral:rRNA from 1 species
GAUACUUAAAACUUAAAAGACUUGACGGUGCUUCACCCCGACCUAGAGGAGCCUGUCCAAUAACCGACAAUCCACGAUUAACCCAACCACUUCUUGCCUAACAGUCUAUAUACCGCCGUCGCCAGCUUACCUUGUAAAAGAAAUAAAGUGAGCUUAAUAGUAACACACUAAAACGACAGGUCGAGGUGUAACUUAUGAAGAGGGCCAAGAUGGGCUACAUUCUCAAGCCGAGAAUACGAAUAACACUAUGAAAUUUAUGAUUAAAGGCGGAUUUAGCAGUAAGAUGGGAAUAAAAUACCUAACUGAAUUUAACGCAAUGAAGUGCGCACACACCGCCCGUCAUCCCUGCCACCAC